GUCGCACGAGAACGCUUCAGCUUGCUGAAGUUAGUAAAGUGGCGCACGGGUGAGUAACGCGUGGGUAAUCUACCCCCGAAUUGGGGAUAACAUCGCGAAAGCGAUGCUAAUACCUAAUGAUAUCUUGAAAAUUUAUGUUUUCUGGAUCAAAGAUGGCCUCUACAUGUAAGCUAUUGUUUGGGGAUGAGCCCGCGUACCAUUAGCUUGUUGGUAGGGUAAUGGCCUACCAAGGCAACGAUGGUUAGCUGGUCUGAGAGGAUGAUCAGCCACACUGGAACUGACACACGGUCCAGACUCCUACGGGAGGCAGCAGUGAGGAAUUUUGCGCAAUGGGGGAAACCCUGACGCAGCAACGCCGCGUGAGUGAUGAAGGCUUUCGGGUCGUAAAGCUCUGUCAAGUGGGAAGAAACCAUAUGGUAUUAAUACCGCCAUAUGCUGACGGUACCACUGAAGGAAGCACCGGCUAACUCCGUG
rnacentral:rRNA from 1 species